AUUGAACGCUGGCGGCAGGCCUAACACAUGCAAGUCGAGCGGAGCGACGGACGGGGGAGUAAUGCAUAGGCAUCUGCCUGGUCGUGGGGGAUAACGUCCGGAAACGGGCGCUAAUACCGCAUACUAUCAGAUGAGUCUAGGUCUGAUUAGCUAGUUGGUGGGGUAAAGGCCUACAAAGGGGACGAUCCGUAACUGGUCUGAGAGGAUGAUCAUGCACAGUGGAACUGAGACCCGGUCCAGACUCCUACGGGAGGCAGCAGUGGGGAAUAUUGGACAAUGGGCGAAAGCCUGAUCCAGCCAUGCCGCGUGUGUGAAGAAGGUCUUCGGAUUGUAAAGCACUUUAAGUUGGGAGGCGUUACCAACAGAAUAAGCACCGGCUAACUUCGUGCCAGCAGCCGCGGUAAUUC
rnacentral:rRNA from 1 species